rnacentral:lncRNA from 1 species
CAAGGAAUAUUCAAUGCACAGUUACUUCCUGCCAGACACUGGGUUUGGGAGUGUCAAAACCACAGGACAUGAAGAGUUGGCCAAGAGGGUUGUGGGACCAGGCCCUGAACUGUACAGCGGGAUCAGGUGUUGAGGGAGCGUCAGGGCUGCAAUAGGCUGAGAAGGCUUCAGGACGGAGGAAGUGAACCCUGAAGAGCAGGGAGAAGUGACCCUACAGUGAAACCACAGAAGCUUAAGCCUCAGGCUCCUCCCUUUGUCUCUUCCAAGGCCUUGUGCCCAAUUUUGUAUUCAUAAUUGUGUGUUCUUUUUCUGUGAGGUGCCUUCCAAAUUAUGUAAGUAUCAGACUCCACAAAACAUGGGGUGGGUCAGGAUUGGCAGCAGAAGGUGGCAGCGGGGCACAGCUUUCUGCCCCCCAGCAGCCCCACAGUCAGGCCAGGAGAUGCUGCAGAAUAAGGCCAAGGUAGAAUUCAAUCUGCAAGACAGAGACCUGAGGUCUGGUUUCUUACAUGCACCGGCUUGUGACCUUAGGCAAGUCACUGAACCACCCCUUCUCUACCUGCACUGUGAGCCAACAACCCUUCACACGGUUGUUUAGAGCAUACAUAGUAGAGAAGAGGCUCUGUAAGCGUGAUGUGCCAUGCCCACAUCCAAGACCAGAUGUUGAUGCCAGGAUGGCUCUUCCCUGGCCAAGAUGAAUUUAACUCUCAUAACAACCCUGUGGGGGUGGGACAGUAUUCUGUAGAUGAUGGAAAUGAGGCACAGAGUGGCAAAGAAUCUUUUUCAAGGACACAAGAGUAGACUCAGCUCCUAAACUUUGAUGUUCUCCACCCUGGAGGUAAUAAAGGGUAGACCCUAGGGUGAGGUCGUGGCAGGGAGAGCCCUGAGAAGAUGCGUAUGGGUGGGGAUUCAUGUGUGUUACAUAUACACUCCACCCCAAGAGCCAGGCGGCAGCUGUGUUUUCCUUGGGAGGAGGGGACAGGAUGAAACGUUCAGGGCUGGCAGAGAGGUACUUCCUCAUGGGAGAAGGUUCGGGGCGAUGCCGGCCAAACCAAUGGAAAUGCCUUCAAGUCACCCUCCUUAAUCCAGGGUGUGUUUCAACUGGUGUGCCCAGUUCCUCCCCUGCUCCAUGCCCUGCCAAACCCCAGCCCAACCAAAUUCAAGAAGGAGGGCCUGGUUGGGAAGACCUACCCCUGCUCAUCUGUCACCAAGGUGUGGGGCAUAAAACCUAAGUAGGGUUGAGGUACCAAGCGUGUGUUGCUUAAUCAGGUCAUUAACGUUUCUGAACCUUGAUUUCAAUGUCUGUAAAAUGGGAUAGUAGAAUGGACCUCAUAUUUCUUUCACUAGUCACUUUCCUGACAUUGUUUUUUGUUUUGUUUUUUUUUUUGAGACAGAGUUUGGCUGUUAUUGCCCAGGCUGGAGUGCAAUGGUGCGAUCUCUGCUCACUGCAACCUCUGCCUCCCGGGUUCAAGCGAUUCUCCUGCCUCAGCCUCCCAAAUAGCUGGGAUUACAGGCAUGUGCCACCACGUCCGGCUAAUUUUGUAUUUUUUAAUAGAGGCAGGGUUUCACCACGUUGGUUGGGCUGGUCUCGAACUCCUUACCUCAGGUGAUCCACCUGCCUUGGCCUCCCAAAGUGUUGGGAUUACAGCCAUGAGCCACCGCGCCCAGUCCCUCACAUUGUCUUAUUUAAGUCUCCUGAUAGUCCCGUGAAGUAGCUUAGGGAUUGCCCUCAUUUUUCAUAUGAGUAUACUGAGUAAGCAUUAGAGAGCUGGGGUCUGCAGGACUCUAAGCCCUCCAUAAUAUUAGCCCCUACACUCUGUACAGAAGGUGGUACAUAAAGGCAUUUUUAAAAAUGUCCAGCCCAACUGAGUGUCACUUCCUGUAGUAACUGACAUGUCCAGUCUGUCUGUAUUUCAGUCCCUCAGCCCGUACACCUGUCUGCCACCUCUUGGGGGGGCACCCCAACCUCUCAACCCCCACAAGUCACACCCUGAUACUGCGGCUGACCUGCUGUCCGCCCUGAGCCAGGAGGAGCAAGACCUCAUUGGGCCAGUGGUCGCCCUGGGAUAUCCCCUGCGAAGGGCCAUCAUAGCUCUGCAGAAGACAGGGAGGCAGAGCCUGAGCCAGGUGAGUUGGGGGACCCAGAGCUGAUGAGCUGUGAUGCUGGAGCCAGGUGAGUGGCCACAUGAUUUUCACCUUUUGAGCUGUGACAUAGGCCCAACAACAGCAUCAGCCAACCCCACAGCUCUGGAGCAUCUAUGGCCCCUCAGGGUUGUCCUAAGUGGGGCUGAGAUGGUCAGGCCUUUAUACCCCUGCCUCAAUCAGUCAUUGCAUGUGGGAAGGGGGUGACCUGAGGUAAGUGGAUCUCUGCAGUUAAGGUAAUCCCUGAAGGGGCAGACAACUGAAGAGUGUCUCCCAGCUCUCCCAGCAUCUGGGGCAGUAAGUCCUGCAGUGAAAGGGUGUGUGGAUGGAACAUCACAGAGUCUACCACACGCAGGUUCUACUCACCCACAUUCUAUUCUUCUAAUAGAGUUCACUCUAUUGGAAGUAUGGCGGAGACUCAUGAUGACACUCCAAGGACAGCACUCUGAGCCACGCUACUAUUUGGAAGCAGGUCUUGACCCCUGAUACAAGCCAAGAAUGUAAGAGCACCUGCAGAGGAGUGAGGGCCCCCAAAGUGCCCAAAAAGAGGUGCUAGUGGCAAGAUACCUGGGAGAAGAAGUGGUAUGAGUGUUAUAGGGGUGUUUCUGUCAUCUCUUUCUGUGUAACAAACUACCCCGAAACUUAGUGGCAUGAGACAACCAUUUAUUUGCUUAUGAUUCUCUGGAUUGGCAGUUUUAAGGUGGACUCAGCUAGGGGGUUCUUCUGCUCAUCUCACCUGCAGUCUCAUGUGGCUACAGUUUGGUGACUUACUUGGGGCUGAAUGAUCUAAGAUGGCCUCAUUCACUGUACAGUGGGUGGUGAUACUUGUCAGCUGGGCCACAUAUCUCCAGCAAGCCACCCUACUUGGUUCCAAGAGUAAGGCCUCUUGAGGCCUCUUGAGGCCUUGGCUGAAAUUGUACAUAGUCACUUCCACCUCAUUCUAUUGGUCAAAGCAUGUUGUUGACCCCUCCAGGCUUACACAGGGGAAAAACAGAUUCCACCUCUUGGUGGGAGAGGGUGCAAAAAAUUUUAUGAUCAUUCUCAGUCUACCACAAGAAGGUUCCAGUGAUCAAGAAAGGCUUCAUGGAGAUACCAAGCAUUGAGCAGGACUUCAAGGAUGGAUAAGAUCUGAUGCUGAAGGAAGGAGAAGGGGUGAUAUUCCAGGAGGGAAGGACAGUGUGAAUAAAGGAGUGGAGGUGGGAAGGAAGUGUUUGGGAGGCCCUGAUCUGACCAGUCUUGUUGAGGAGAGGGUGCAUGAGGCAGGCUGGUAGGAGAUGAGAAAAAGAGAAUUGGGGGUAGAUUUAGGGGUCUUGAAGGCUGGCCUGAGAAUUUGAUAAAUGACCCAAUAGGCAAAAGGAGGCACGGAAGGAUUGUAAGUAGGGUCAGGAGGUAACAUUGAAUGCCAUUGCCUACACCCCCAUGUCCCCACCUGAAAGUAACAUCCUUCGUUGCGUGGUUUUCUAAACAUCGGGACUCUUCAUGGUUUGAUGGCUGGCCCCAGGGUAGUUGGCACUUUUCAUUUUUCUCCCGUUCCUGCCCCACCACCAUCAGAAGGCUUGGACACCUCCAUCAUCACUGAUGAGUACUGAAUGUUGGGUCCCUGCGGUCCAGAGCUGCCUGCUUCUGCCAGAGGGAAUGGCAGAAGGGAAGUGACUUUCAAACAGGAGCCGGGGUGGGGCUGGGCAAAUGCACCUGGUCCCCUUGCCCACCCACUCCUGCUUCUACUCUACUCUGGGUUCAUCAGUUCAUGCCCUGUCCUGGAGGAGAAUUUCCAACAUAGUGACCCCCAUGUGGCUAAAAUGGCAGGGAGGGGUGCUAACAUUUAUUGAACAUUUUCUUGCAUGAAUCUCUCUCUCUGAGGGUAUUCAGUUAGGUCUCAAUUCUGCAAGGUUGCUAUUACAUUAUGACCACUUUGCAGAUGAGGAAACUGAGGCCAGGGAAGUUCAUACAGCCAGUCAAUGGCAGCACUGGGGUUGAGGCCAGCUGGUCUGACUCUGCAUCUUGGUCGCACGAUGUCUUUUAUCUCAUUUUCUGUGUGAGAACCUCCCAGGACAGCACCACAGGCUGAUCUGAGAUUUAAGAGCAGAUCUAAAGUCACGCCUACCUUCGGAUGAUACUGAAAAGCCAGAGUCCUGGCCAAAAAGCUGGUCAGGAGGGCUGUGAGGGGCCAGGUGCACAGUGGGGCUCUGACAUGCCUCCCCAGUCCCUUCAGGCCCUGUGGUAAGGCUGAGGUCUCAGGCCAUCACUCUGGGGGUCUGAAGAUGAGUCAGAGCCAGCCUGGGGCCCUGGCCUCCCAGUGGGUGAGCAGGAAGGAUUUCACUGCAUUGGGAACAUUGUGUUUCCAGAUAUAGACUGGCCACCUGCCUGGCCCCCUGGAUCUCUGGGUGGCCUUCCCUGGUGGGCAGUCAGGAGCCAGGCCCCACGGGGUGGGUCUGAGGGGCCUUUGGAUGACUUCAUCUAUCCUCCCCCACCAAGUUAGUAUUUCUGUCUGUUCUGUGAAGUCCUGGUAACUGAACAAGCCCUUUGGGUUCAGAUUCCUUCUCCCACUGAAAGCCGCAUAUUGCAGUAAAUCCUUUUUGGCCAAGAUAAAUGACAGAUGGCCCAGGAGGAAGGGCAUCAGGUGAUAGAGACAGAGCAGCUAGAAGAGUCAGGGAGAGAAGAAGAUACAAAAGAAAUUGUGCAGCACUCCUUUCCUUCCACAAGGCUUGAUGUGCCCACACUGCCUCCCUGCAGGACAGGCAUGGGUGCCAUGUGUGAGGGUCCACAGGCCAGGCCCCCUCUUUUAGCCUCAGUUUCCCAGUUCACAGGGUGGAGGAGGAAUACGUGUUUGGAACCAGUGACUUCCGGGGGCCCCCUCCGGUGGCCUUAAGGUGACAUCCUCACCCACCUGGGGGCCUGAGGCAAGCCUGAUAGCUUCUACAGUCCUGCAGGCCCAAAAGCUAACCAAGCAGCAGAACCUUUGCAAAUGCAGACUCUCAGGGCUUAUCCUGCAGGGCCCCAGUCAGUGGAUCUGGGGUGGACCCAGGGGCCUUUAAUUUUAGAAAAUUUGCAGAUGGGUCUGAUAUUCACUGUGGCAUAGUAUAGAUCAAGGUCAGCUGUCCCCAUUCACUGAUUCUUAGUCUUGGGUGCACAUUAGAAUCACCUGGAGGGCUAUAGGGAAAAAUUCCAAUGCUCAGGCUACACCCCAGACCAAUUAUAUCGUAACCUCUGAAGGUGAGGCCCAGACAGCAGUAAUGUUUAAAGUUCCUCAGGUGGUUGCAAUAAGCACUGAGACUGAGAACCAUUGCUAUGGAUGAGCCAAAAGGUGGAGGCAGCGUCCACCAUCCAUCCUUGCCCGCCCUCCUUCUGAAGGUGAAGCUUUCACCUUUGGAAACCCUGUCAUCCACCAAGACAGCUAAAAGCCCGUCCUCUAGCAGCUGAUCCCUCUGAUGGACAAGGCAUUAAAUGACAGGUUACAUAAUCGGGGACCUAGUCCUGGGACCCCGGACAAGGCACCUGCCUUGCCUGAACCUCAGUUUCCUCAACUGUGGAAGGAGGGCAUGGGUGCCUGGUUUUCAAAACGUGCUCAGAGCAGGUCUAGCUGUACUGGGCAGUACCUCGGCCAGGAGCACUGGACUCCGGGCCCCCAUGCCCCUGGCCCUGGUUCUCCCAGAGCAGCUCUAAUCUUAGCCUGUUAUUGCUGAAGCCUCCUUGUGCUAAGACAAACACUUCAGGAGCCAAAAACAAUUUGACAACUGUUAGUCUAGAUGAUGUGCACUUUCAUCCCAGCUCUGAAGGUCUACGGAAACCCCACUCUCCCUUCUCCACAUAUACUCAUAAUUCCUGUAGUCUGGAGCCUUCAUUUGGCACCUACACCCCAUAAAUCCUGCUUUGAUUUGCCUGGCACUGAUGUGGUCCUGUAUCUGGUUUAUCUCCCCCACUAAGCUGUGAGUUCCUUGAAGGCAGGUCUUCAUUCAUUUUAUAAACACAGCACACAUUUAUUGAGCUCCUUCUGCCACCAUGCUGGAUGAUGGGGACACUGUGGUGAAUGAGACUGACACAGCCCCUCCCUCAUGGAGCAAAAACUUCGUGGAUGAGAAAGAUUGAGUGAAGCAAUUACAAAGUUAUAUGUGCUGUAACAGGGAAGCAUAGGGUGCUAUGGGGGCACAAGGGACGGCACCCAGGAAGAUAGAGGGGGCAGGAAGCUUCCCAGGGACAGGGAAGGAGGCCAGCCUUGGCUGAGGGAGCUGCAUCUGCAGAGACCUGGAGGGUGAGGGAGGGGCCAAGGCCAUAGACAGGGAGCAGGCCUUUGAGCCCUGCCUGGUAAGGAGCCAGCAUUUUAUCCUGGGCCCCUGAUGACGUAACCGUGGGGUGACCUGAACAGUUUUUCCUGCCUGUGGAAUCCUCCUCUUUGCCUACCCCACACCCCUUCUCCAGCACUGGUGCAGGAGUUGCAUAGUAGUGGCUCAGGAGUCCUGGAUGAGAGAGAUGCAUCUGGGGGCACAGUAGGGGUGCACAGGUGUGGACGGAUGAGGAGGCACCUUCACACGAAUGGGUGCUCCCAGACAGGGGUGGGUGGUGCAUGAAUGUUGAAUUGCGUUGGGUGGUAGGUGGGAUGUCUGUGUUUGAAGCCUGUCCUGCUCCCCACCUAGGUUCUAUGAACACCCUAGCCCACCCUGACAGCCCUUUUCCUGGAGUCCAGCCCCCAGCUUGGCAUAGUUGGUGAAGACCCAUUGUCUGCCUAUCGCCAGGCACUCAGAGAAAGCCUCUAUCCCCCUUCUGUGGGUUCACGGGCUCUCUGGGGCCACGCUGCAGGUGGUGGCUUGCCCUGUUGCCUGGCCCUCAGCUCAGGCCCUUGGAGUGCCUCUCUGCCCUGUCUGCUGCCCCGGCUGCUCCUCUUACCCUCCCUCCCUCUCUGCCCGCUUCCGGCCCAGUUUCUCAGCUACCUCAGUGCCUGUGACCGCCUGUUACGUCAGGGAUAUGAGGAAGGCCUGGUGGAUGAGGCCAUGGAGAUGUUCCAGUUCUCCGAGAGCCAGGCAGGGGAGUUCCUGCGCCUCUGGGAGCAGUUCAGUGACAUGGGCUUCCAGCAGGACCGGAUCAAGGAGGUGCUGCUGGUCCAUGGCAACCGCCGAGAGCAAGCCCUGGAGGAGCUGGUGGCCUGUGCCCAGUGACCACGGAGGCACUCCACGAUGCCUGGGCAUCUAGGCCCAAUGCCAGACCUGGCAACCCAUCCUAACUGUAUUAUUAAAACCAAGUAAG